CUCUGGCGAUGAAGCCCUGCAACUCCUUCAUGUAGAGUGAGCACACGACGUCGGGCUUAUCCGGAUUGGGCAGCUUCCUGCAACGCGCGCAGAAGGAACCAUUUCAAAUGAGUGCACGAAUGAUCCCGUUACCUUGGCAACAGCCUGCUGCAGACGAUGGAGGGAGUUGACCACGGCAGUGUUCCUCCUCUGGCCUUCGGAUAACGGACCAAUCACCUGACUGGCCUCACUCCGAGUACAUAACUACAGCAGUAAAGAAAAUUACCAGUGGAUGAAUUAUCGCCAUCACUGAGGUGGGCCUUGUGCACUUUCUUACCUGAAUCUCCGUCCCCUGCUCCAGCAGUCGCUUGGCUUGGUUCUCCACCUCAAGCCUUGCUCUACUGAUCAGUACCAGAUCGUUCUCAAUCACCUCAAUCCCGCUCAGAUCCAC